GGAGGGGUGGCCGAGUGGUUGAAGGCGCACGACUCGAAAUCGUGUUCUCCGAAAGGGGACGGGGGUUCGAAUCCCUCCCCCUCCG
rnacentral:tRNA from 1 species